UACGUAGGGCGCAAGCGUUGUCCGGAAUUAUUGGGCGUAAAGAGCUCGUAGGUGGCUUGUCGCGUCUGCCGUGAAAGCCCAUGGCUUAACUGUGGGUCUGCGGUGGAUACGGGCAGACUAGAGUGAUGUAGGGGAGACUGGAAUUCCUGGUGUAGCGGUGAAAUGCGCAGAUAUCAGGAAGAACACCCGUGGCUAAGGCGGCUCUCUAGUACGGUACUGACGCUGAGACGCGAAAGCGUGGGGAGCGAACAGG
rnacentral:rRNA from 1 species